rnacentral:tRNA from 1 species
GUCCCCGUAGUUCAGCGGAUAGAACAACGGUCUUCUAAACCGUGUGUCGCAGGUUCGAGUCCUGCCGGGGGCG